rnacentral:rRNA from 1 species
ACUCCUACGGGAGGCAGCAGUAGGGAAUAUUGGUCAAUGGGCGGGAGCCUGAACCAGCCAUGCCGCGUGCAGGAAGACGGCCUUCUGGGUUGUAAACUGCUUUUACCAGGGAAGAAAACCCCCAUGCGUGGGGAAUUGACGGUACCUGGCGAAUAAGCACCGGCUAACUCCGUGCCAGCAGCCGCGGUAAUACGGAGGGCGCAAGCGUUGUCCGGAUUUAUUGGGUUUAAAGGGUGCGUAGGCGGCUUUUUAAGUCAGUGGUGAAAUGCGGCAGCUCAACUGCCGGAGUGCCAUUGAUACUGGAAAGCUUGAGUAUAGAUGAGGCAGGCGGAAUUUAUGGUGUAGCGGUGAAAUGCAUAGAUACCAUAAAGAACACCGAUAGCGUAGGCAGCUUGCUAAACUAUAACUGACGCUGAGGCACGAAAGCAUGGGUAGCGAACAGGAUUAGAUACCCUGGUAGUCCAUGCCGUAAACGAUGAUUACUCGAUGUGUGCGGUACACAGUACGCGUCCAAGCGAAAGCGUUAAGUAAUCCACCUGGGGAGUACGCCCGCAAGGGUGAAACUC